rnacentral:rRNA from 1 species
GGCCCAGAGGCGCAAUGAAAGUGAAGGACGCCCUUGUCGGUGUCUGCGUUGGGAUCCCGGGGCCUCGCGUCCCGGGCGCACCAACGGCCCGUCCCGUCCGCCACGUCGGUGGGACGGAGCGAGAGCGUACACGUUGGGACCCGAAAGAUGGUGAACUAUGCCUGGGCAGGACGAGGCCAGAGGAAACUCUGGUGGAGGUCCGCAGCGAUUCUGACGUGCAAAUCGAUCGUCAGACCUUGGUAUAGGGGCGAAAGACUAAUCGAACCGUCUAGUAGCUG